AAGUAUUUCUUCAUUUGCAGAUCACCAUGGGACCCACAACAUUUCAAAGUCAUUUUGAGGAAAUUGUGGCAAACGCACCUGUUGAUGAAAAGGGGGAGCCAAAUGAGUAUCAUUCACCUACAUUCAUGCCUAACCUUGUCAAAUAUUUCCUACCUCAAGCAGUUUUGUGGUCUGGUCUCAUGCUGGGUGAUCUUGGCCGUCAUGGAAAAGGACCAGCCUACAAACAUUUGUCCAAGAUUUUUAUGCGUUGUAGUCAGUCAGGCACACAGAACUACAAUGAGGACAACAAGACACAGGGUAUAAUGGAGAAAAGCCAAUGGGCUCUGAAAAAAAUUAGAUUCCAGAGACGUCGUCUCACAAGGCUUGAUGACUUUGUGCAGAUUUAUCAACAGU